rnacentral:RNase_P_RNA from 2 species
UCAGACGGCCGGAUGGCUGCGCUUGAACGGGCAACCGUUCGGGUGAGGAAAGUCCGGGCUCCACGGAGACACGGUGCCGGCUAACGGCCGGCGGGGGCGACCCCAGGGAAAGUGCCACAGAGAAGAGACCGCCAACCCGGUUCGCCUUCGGGCGCAUCGGGCGGCAAGGGUGAAACGGUGGGGUAAGAGCCCACCGCGCGACCGGCAACGGAAGCGGCACGGUAAACCCCACCGGGAGCAAGACCAAAUAGGGGUGGCAUGCCGGGCAACCGGCAGGCGCGUUUCCGCGCUGCCACCCGGGUCGGUCGCGCGAGGCGCUCGGCAACGGGCGUCCCAGAGGAAUGGCCAUCUCCCGCCGAAAGGCGGGGACAGAACCCGGCUUACAGGCCGUCUGAUCCU